AACAAGAAAGUAAAAGAACUUUUAUUAGAAAGACAAUUGUCACAUAUUGUAUUCCAAGAAAAGAUGAAUAUUUGUGAUGGCUAGCUACUCUAUUUAUAGUUUACAUUCGACUUAAAAUCUAAGCAAUCACUAGAAUGUUCCACAAGUAAACUAAAACAGAGUAGCUUAAAAUCUAAGCAAAAGCAGCAAAAGUAGUUCUGGAGUGUGGCACGGCCGUGCCAAGCCUAGCAAGGGCCGUGCC
rnacentral:lncRNA from 1 species